UUAAGCGACUAAGCGUACACGGUGGAUGCCCUGGCAGUCAGAGGCGAUGAAGGACGUGCUAAUCUGCGAAAAGCGUCGGUAAGGUGAUAUGAACCGUUAUAACCGGCGAUGUCCGAAUGGGGAAACCCAGUGUGAUUCGUCACACUAUCGUUAACUGAAUACAUAGGUUAACGAGGCGAACCGGGGGAACUGAAACAUCUAAGUACCCCGAGGAAAAGAAAUCAACCGAGAUUCCCCCAGUAGCGGCGAGCGAACGGGGAGCAGCCCAGAGUCUGAAUCAGCUUGUGUGUUAGUGGAACGGUCUGGAAAGUCCGACGGUACAGGGUGAUAGUCCCGUACACCAAAAUGCACAGGUUGUGAACUCGAAGAGUAGGGCGGGACACGUGGUAUCCUGUCUGAAUAUGGGGGGACCAUCCUCCAAGGCUAAAUACUCCUGACUGACCGAUAGUGAACCAGUACCGUGAGGGAAAGGCGAAAAGAACCCCGGCGAGGGGAGUGAAAAAGAACCUGAAACCGUGUACGUACAAGCAGUGGGAGCACCUUCGGGUGUGACUGCGUACCUUUUGUAUAAUGGGUCAGCGACUUAUAUUCUGUAGCAAGGUUAACCGUAUAGGGGAGCCGCAGGGAAACCGAGUCUUAACUGGGCGUUAAGUUGCAGGGUAUAGACCCGAAACCCGGUGAUCUAGCCAUGGGCAGGUUGAAGGUUGGGUAACACUAACUGGAGGACCGAACCGACUAAUGUUGAAAAAUUAGCGGAUGACUUGUGGCUGGGGGUGAAAGGCCAAUCAAACCGGGAGAUAGCUGGUUCUCCCCGAAAGCUAUUUAGGUAGCGCCUCGUGAACUCAUCUUCGGGGGUAGAGCACUGUUUCGGCUAGGGGGUCAUCCCGACUUACCAACCCGAUGCAAACUACGAAUACCGAAGAAUGUUAUCACGGGAGACACACGGCGGGUGCUAACGUCCGUCGUGAAGAGGGAAACAACCCAGACCGCCAGCUAAGGUCCCAAAGUCAUGGUUAAGUGGGAAACGAUGUGGGAAGGCACAGACAGCCAGGAUGUUGGCUUAGAAGCAGCCAUCAUUUAAAGAAAGCGUAAUAGCUCACUGGUCGAGUCGGCCUGCGCGGAAGAUGUAACGGGGCUAAACCAUGCACCGAAGCUGCGGCAGCGACACUAUGUGUUGUUGGGUAGGGGAGCGUUCUGUAAGCCUGCGAAGGUGUGCUGUGAGGCAUGCUGGAGGUAUCAGAAGUGCGAAUGCUGACAUAAGUAACGAUAAAGCGGGUGAAAAGCCCGCUCGCCGGAAGACCAAGGGUUCCUGUCCAACGUUAAUCGGGGCAGGGUGAGUCGACCCCUAAGGCGAGGCCGAAAGGCGUAGUCGAUGGGAAACAGGUUAAUAUUCCUGUACUUGGUGUUACUGCGAAGGGGGGACGGAGAAGGCUAUGUUAGCCGGGCGACGGUUGUCCCGGUUUAAGCAUGUAGGCUGAUUGUCCAGGCAAAUCCGGAUAAUCAAGGCUGAGGUGUGAUGACGAGGCACUACGGUGCUGAAGUAACAAAUGCCCUGCUUCCAGGAAAAGCCUCUAAGCAUCAGGUAACAUUAAAUCGUACCCCAAACCGACACAGGUGGUCAGGUAGAGAAUACCAAGGCGCUUGAGAGAACUCGGGUGAAGGAACUAGGCAAAAUGGUGCCGUAACUUCGGGAGAAGGCACGCUGGUGUGUAGGUGAAGUCCCUGCGGAUGGAGCUGAGACCAGUCGAAGAUACCAGCUGGCUGCAACUGUUUAUUAAAAACACAGCACUGUGCAAACACGAAAGUGGACGUAUACGGUGUGACGCCUGCCCGGUGCCGGAAGGUUAAUUGAUGGGGUUAUCCGUAAGGAGAAGCUCUUGAUCGAAGCCCCGGUAAACGGCGGCCGUAACUAUAACGGUCCUAAGGUAGCGAAAUUCCUUGUCGGGUAAGUUCCGACCUGCACGAAUGGCGUAAUGAUGGCCAGGCUGUCUCCACCCGAGACUCAGUGAAAUUGAACUCGCUGUGAAGAUGCAGUGUACCCGCGGCAAGACGGAAAGACCCCGUGAACCUUUACUAUAGCUUGACACUGAACAUUGAGCCUUGAUGUGUAGGAUAGGUGGGAGGCUUUGAAGCGUGGACGCCAGUCUGCGUGGAGCCAACCUUGAAAUACCACCCUUUAAUGUUUGAUGUUCUAACGUUGGCCCCUGACCGGGGUUGCGGACAGUGUCUGGUGGGUAGUUUGACUGGGGCGGUCUCCUCCCAAAGCGUAACGGAGGAGCACGAAGGUUAGCUAAUCCUGGUCGGACAUCAGGAGGUUAGUGCAAUGGCAUAAGCUAGCUUGACUGCGAGCGUGACGGCGCGAGCAGGUGCGAAAGCAGGUCAUAGUGAUCCGGUGGUUCUGAAUGGAAGGGCCAUCGCUCAACGGAUAAAAGGUACUCCGGGGAUAACAGGCUGAUACCGCCCAAGAGUUCAUAUCGACGGCGGUGUUUGGCACCUCGAUGUCGGCUCAUCACAUCCUGGGGCUGAAGUAGGUCCCAAGGGUAUGGCUGUUCGCCAUUUAAAGUGGUACGCGAGCUGGGUUUAGAACGUCGUGAGACAGUUCGGUCCCUAUCUGCCGUGGGCGCUGGAGAAUUGAGGGGGGCUGCUCCUAGUACGAGAGGACCGGAGUGGACGCAUCACUGGUGUUCGGGUUGUCAUGCCAAUGGCACUGCCCGGUAGCUAAAUGCGGAAGAGAUAAGUGCUGAAAGCAUCUAAGCACGAAACUUGCCCCGAGAUGAGUUCUCCCUGAGACUUUAAGUCUCCUGAAGGAACGUUGAAGACGACGACGUUGAUAGGCCGGGUGUGUAAGCGCAGCGAUGCGUUGAGCUAACCGGUACUAAUGAACCGUGAGGCUUAACCUU
rnacentral:rRNA from 2 species